UACGAAUUUUCGGAAAUAUCCGAAAUUUUGGGGUGAAAAAAUCGGAAAUACUUUCUACAUCGAAGCGCCAGCGCCCCCUACUUUAGAAACGAGAAUUGAAACAUUUUUUUUUCAUCGAUCGGACAUGCCUAGUACGCAUGCCACCCUCUCCUAAGAUCAUGGAGGAUUUUCUUAUUAGCUAAAGUGGCCCAUUCUCAAAAUAUAUUUGUAGGUUUGGCAGGGAUAAGCCACCUCUUUCCUUUGAGUCUGUUAAAUACUUGAUCCUGGGUUUCUUUCAUUCCCAUAUAAAUUUAGUGAUUUCUCGUUGCCGUUCUUUAACAAGAAAAUUAGUUCUAAUAAUAGGGAUCAAUUGGGAAAGAAAGAGUAAUUUUGGCAAAACACUCAUUUUAAUCACAGAUAUUCUGUGGGGAAUUUUGUCUUGUUGAGAUAUAGUCCCCUUUAUACAGAGUGAUGCUCCCUAGUUGUGUGAUCCAAAGGGGGUUCCCGUGGCAACAGGAAACACAACCACUGUCCCCAUGGCAACAACUGCUCGCAUGGAGCCAGGCUGAAGCGAGGACUCAGGACAGGUAUCGGGUGGGAGGAGGCGAGGGGUGCGAGGAACCAAAGCUGGAUGGAGGACCACAACUUCUACCCGUUACGUGACUAAGCGAUGCCUCCAGGAUGGACCAGAAACAAGACCGGAUCAGUAUCCUCGCACAGCCGAAAAUUAACCACCAGGUCCUCUGCUGCAGGCCCACUGUCUACUGGGUAGAUAAAAUCCCCCCGGAGCACCCGCGAUUUACCGUACCAGUCUUAACCCCAAGGCAGGAAGAGCUGUCGAAAAUUAAGAAAGUGAACUCAGAGUACAAAGCAGACAGACUCACUCCAAUGUGGCCGGUCACGCCAGCUGCUCUGAAAGCAGAGGCCUCGCCCAGAAUUAAGGAACUGGCGCAGCCCCGAUGUUUCACAAACGACUGGUACCGGCCCCGAUCCCUGAUGGUGAGUAAAGGAGCCUUGACUGCCAUUCCCAGCCCACGGAUCAUUGCUUUGGCCGAACCGAAGCACCUGCCACCCGCUCCUCAGAUGCCGCCUAAAAAAAUCCCCCGCGGUCCCAUUGCCGCGGUCGAAAAAUUCGCCGAACUCUCCAAGCCCCGGAUAUUUACCUUCGACGCCCAGGAUCCGUACAAAGUUUCCAAGGCGGCUCUCCAGUAUGUCGCAAGUCCGCGCGUCCUUGAAAUCAGCCGCCCGCCGAGAAGGAGAAGCAAAGUCCCUCACGAUGUGUAGCGGGAUGCUCUCACUCGACUUCGGUCCCAUGUUGAAAACCGAUUAAAGCCGCUCAAUUAUUA